rnacentral:ncRNA from 1 species
GGCCCGACGGAUUAAAAGGGAAUCGGGUGAAAAUCCCGGACAGUCCCGCUGCUGUGAAGCUCUAUCCAAAACGCAUCGACAGUCAGUAUGCCACUGGUGGCAACACCGGGAAGGCGUUGAUGCGAGAGUCAGUCAGAAGACCUGCCAUCGUUUUUUU